rnacentral:rRNA from 1 species
AGUGAACGCUGGCGGUAGGCCUAACACAUGCAAGUCGAACGGCAGCACAGUAAGAGCUUGCUCUUACGGGUGGCGAGUGGCGGACGGGUGAGGAAUACAUCGGAAUCUACUUUUUCGUGGGGGCUAACGUAGGGAAACUUACGCUAAUACCGCCUACGACCUACGGGUGAAAGCAGGGGAUCUUCGGCCCUUGCGCGAUUGAAUGAGCCGAUGUCGGAUUAGCUAGUUGGCGGGGUAAAGGCCCACCAAGGCGACGAUCCGUAGCUGGUCUGAGAGGAUGAUCAGCCACACUGGAACUGAGACACGGUCCAGACUCCUACGGGAGGCAGCAGUGGGGAAUAUUGGACAAUGGGCGCAAGCCUGAUCCAGCCAUGCCGCGUGGGUGAAGAAGGCCUUCGGGUUGUAAAGCCCUUUUGUUGGGAAAGAAAAGCAGCAGGUUAAUACCCCGCUGUUCUGACGGUACCCAAAGAAUAAGCACCGGCUAACUUCGUG